GGAAGGUAGAGGUACCGACACCCCUAGCUGUGAGGUAUGCAUUAAGACUACAAGAACAGGUAACCAUAUAUCCCAGACCCUAAUUUGGCAUUCGCAAUAUGAGUGUAAAGGAGAUGUAUCAAGAUGCAGAUACUUAAAUAUAGAAUAUAGUGUGUGUCAUUUAGGAGUAGGAGAACCUAAGUGCUUCAGUCCUGAGUAUCAACCCCGUACAAUUUGGUUGACUCUCAGAAAUGGAGAUCCUCAGGGGACCCUAAUUAAUAAGAUGGUAUUAGAAUCCGUAUAUUCUUCAGGUGCUCUGCUAUUUGAUGCGUGUAAAGCAAUAUCAAGUGGUAGAAAGCCGUGGAAUGUAUGUGGGGAUCUUAGAUGGGAGAGGACGCAUGGGUCUAACGAUAAAUAUAUUUGUCCCAGUAGUAAAAAUAAAUAUGUAAGUCCAAGAUGCCCAAAUAGAGAUUAUAACUUCUGCCCAUAUUGGUCUUGUAUGGGGUGGGCGACUUGGGGACAGACAGCAGACAAG